rnacentral:rRNA from 1 species
GUGCAGCAGUCGAGAAACCUCCGCAAUGCACGCAAGUGCGACGGGGGGACCCCAAGUGCCACUCUUAACGGGGUGGCUUUUCAGGAGUGUAAAAAGCUCCUGGAAUAAGGGCUGGGCAAGACCGGUGCCAGCCGCCGCGGUAACACCGGCAGCUCGAGUGGUAGCCGCGUUUAUUGGGCCUAAAGCGUCCGUAGCCGGUCCGAUAAGUCUCUGGUGAAAGCCCACAGCUCAACCGUGGGAAUCGCUGGAGAUACUAUCGGACUUGAGGCCGGGAGAGGCUGGAGGUACUCCCAGGGUAGGGGUGAAAUCCUAUAAUCCUGGGAGGACCACCUGUGGCGAAGGCGUCCAGCUGGAACGGACCUGACGGUGAGGGACGAAAGCCAGGGGCGCGAACCGGAUUAGAUACCCAGGUAGUCC